GACGUAGGGCGCGAGCGUUGUCCGGAUUUAUUGGGCGUAAAGAGCUCGUAGGCGGCUUGUCGCGUCGUCCGUGAAAACCCAUGGCUCAACUGUGGGCUUGCGGUCGAUACGGGCAGGCUGGAGUUCGGUAGGGGAGACUGGAAGUUCCUGGUGUAGCGGUGAAAUGCGCAGAUAUCAGGAGGAACACCAGUGGCGAAGGCGGUUGCCUGGAGCUUUGCUGACGCUGAGGCGCGAAAGCGUGGGGAGCGAUCCGG
rnacentral:rRNA from 1 species